AGGCUGAUUUCGCCCUGGCGGGCGGAGCCGACGUCGCGGUAGCCACGUUCCCGGCAGGCGGCGGGUCUGGCUCUUCCUGCCGUCCUCCGGUAGGGCGUCCGGUGCCGGGAAGCCGGCCUGGGGAGAAUUGCCGAAGCUCAGGGGACCAGCGUAGUGGGCACUCUUGUCCGGGAAGGCGUUCCGUGCCGUAGCUCUCACACCGCCGCGGUCGGCGCUGACCCCGAAGCCCGGGGAAGUGCGGGGUGUGGAGGGCGUGUUCCCUCCAUCUGUCUGCCCCUGUCCGCGCUCCUGGCGGGCGGGAAAGACGGCGCUUCCGUGACGCCGGGGCUCUGUCCCGGGACCCCCAGCCCGCACGCAGCGAGGCCUCGGCCUUCCCCUACCCAGUACACACCAUUUGAGCAAACGUGGACAUCAGGCUCUGGCGGGGGAGGAAAAUGAGGCCCCUCUGAUCAUGUCUGAACUCAGACAAAAUGUGAACGUAGUCCAAGCCACGAGCCCUGCCUAAUACGAGUCACUGCAGCUUCUGGACGGAUCACAGAUUUAGCUGUGUCUAAUCUUCCUGCCUGUCAGAUGAGAUCGAUUAAGGCAUCCUAUCAGGGCAUCUCUUCCUCUUGUUGACAUUUUUUUUCAAUCCAGAGCAAAGCCCCCAUCCUUAAAAUGUUUCCCCAAAUUACCGGCCACGCAUCCCAGUCUGCUAAGUACUUUCCAACAUCUGACCACUGACGUUUCCAGGGUGGUGGUCUCCCUCCCUCCUUCCCUGCGGCCCAAGGUCUUCUGCCUGGCUGUUCGUGCAUGGAAUUCUUUAAGACUUGAUCCUGGGUCCUCUCCUCAUCCCAUACUCCCUCGCUUGGCAAUCUCGUCCACACUUGGCUUGAAUUACUGUUCAUCUGAACAUGGUUUGUUAAUUUAUAUAUCCUACCAGCUCCAGAUCCACAUAUUCAAAUACUGCAGUUUUUACAAGUUGAAGGUUUUGGGCAACUCUGUGCCGAGGAAGCCUAUUGGCACCAUUUUCUGACAGCGUCUGCUCACUUUAUGUCUCUGUCGCAUUUGGGAAACUUUUUUUUACUGAAAUCCACACUGAAUCCAAGUAUAUUCCUUGAUGAAGUUUCACAAAGUAAAUACACCUGCCGACGAGGACUCAGAUCGCAACACGGAAUAUUUCCUGCGCCCAGAAACCACUUCAGUCACGACGUCCCACGGUUGGCACUAGGGCCACGGAUUCAUUUGGUGGGGGUUUGAACCUCAUAUAAAUGGAAUCACGCAGUGCGCGCUCUUCCGACCCGGACUUCUUUCGCUCAGCACCAUGUAGGUGAGACUCGUGUGAACUGUUAGCAGGGGGACCUGACCUUGUCUUCUCACUGUGUGAUAAUCCCUGGUGUGGAUGCAGGUUCCUUACGAACAUGUUCUGGCAUCCGUGAACAGCUGAGUCGUAUCCAGUCUGAGGCUCUAACAAAUACUACUGGUAGGAACAUCCCAAAGCGUGUCUUUUGGCAAACACUGGCACCCAUCCCCACUGGCACGUGCCCAGGGAUUGGAAUCCUGGGCCUGGGGGUGUUUACAUUCAGUUCAGUUCAUACUUUCCUUAGUUGAUUUUUUUAUUGUGGUAAAAUAUACCUAACAGCAAAUGUA